rnacentral:lncRNA from 1 species
UCAGAAUCAAACUCGAGUGAAUAUAGCAAUAAAAAGCUAGUAUUCAAAAUCCAACACGAGAAGCCACAUAAACGCUAAGAGGAACGGCCAUGGAUUUGAUAUCAUCAUUAAUAAAGCAACAACAACAGUAAUGUUUGCUUAUAAAGAAGCUUCCGAUUAACGAAAAAUUGCAGUAGUUACAACAUAUGGGAAACGCAGCUACGAGCGAAAAUCGAUGAACCCAAAACAGAGAACCGAACCGGAAGCUAACGAACGGAAACUCUGUUGAACUUGAACUCGACGGCAAUCGGACCAAACUCCAGUGACUCAAACCACGACCAAAAAGCUGCUCGUACUUGAACGAUUUGAGACCUAUUUGCAGCUGGUUUCGCUGCUUCUAAUAGCUGGAGUUCAGAGAUGAUUCAAGCGUGUUUUCCGCUAGGAUUUUGAUUGGGGUAAAGGUCGUUUCUUCAGUUGUAUUUGUGUGUGACUGGUUUCUGGUUGGUCGUGCUGAGGGAGCAGCAGUGAGGUUGGUGGCGGAGGAGAUGACUGGCGAUAGGAUAUAGGGAGAGGCGAUGGGGAUUUAGGGGUUUGUUUGGAGACGAUGGUUGGUGGUGGAGUUCCGGCGAGAUUUGGUUGAAGAUGGGGGUAGCUGGCGGCUGAAGGUCCUAGGAAUUCUUUUGUUCUUGUGUAAUCAGUUGAAGAAGAUGAAGGUCUUCUCCAUGUGAAAUACGAC